CUUCGUUCCACUUUUCACUUUCCUCUUUCUCUCUCUCAAUAGGAAUUCAAACCGAAAUGGUUUGAAUUCUCCGGCGAACCUUGCCGCUGACGUAUAUUCUUCUCUGUCGACUUUCGCUGCCGAUCGUCCCCAGGUACCUCCACCCAGGCGUACUAUCCUCGCGGAGGAAAGAUCUAGCAAAGACUUUGAGGUAUAUCUGCCACGUCCGCAGACCAGAAGUUUCUAUCUUAUUCCAGCUUUACUAUAUGACUUUCCUUCCUUUCGGUUGUAUAGACAUUCUGGAGUUAGAGCAGUGUAUUUUAUUUCUAUUAGCCUGUGUUUCCUGUGAGUUUCCGGAUUUUGGGAGUCUGUUUUGGAUUUCGUGAUAUGGGUUGUAUUAUGCCAAGUGGCACUUAUAUACAGUUUUCUUUUGACAGUAAAAUUUUCAGUUGUUUGCUUC